GUGGGUGAUGGUUUCCGUGUCUGUGUUUUACACCACACGGUACUGUUUUUCGGUUUUCAUGGUACGUUUAUUGUUUUGUAAGGAGUGUUCAGUUUAUGUGUUUAAUAAACAACCAUGGACACUUACCACGCCGCAAAUUGGUCCUCCGAUCCUUCUCGCCUCUCCUCUUCAGACGAAGAGGAGGAAAACCAUUACACGUGGUUCAUUUUCAUGCCAGCCAGAAACCCACAUAUCUGCCUCUCAUUGGCCUCACCGGUUACCUGGAACACAAACACAAGAACAUUAUCCCUCACUCACUCCUCUGAACAGAUCUGAUAGGUCAUUGGUGUAAGCAAUAUGGCUGAAACCAGGUGGAGCUACUGCUUUACAUCUUCACAGAUGUCUCAGAUCCACCAAGGCAAUCAAUGACAGCAGAAAGCAGGAGACAAUGUUUUUUAAUAUACAAUAAGUCACCUCACUUUUAAGUCGUCCUUCCCAGACCGAACGUCACAGUAGCCAGCAGCCCCAAAAACACCAGCCCACUCCUCCCCUCCUCGAAGGCCUUGGCCGCCCCUUCAGUCACCCUCUUCCUUCCAGAAACAUCCAGAGACACAAGCAGUGGGAGAAUCCCAGAACUCCCUCCAGAAGCAGCCUAACCGCCUCAUCCCCCUCCCUUUCUUAGUCAUCCUCUGCGGUGGACAUUCCAGAGGCAAAGCAGUCAUCAGAGAGAUCCAGGUGCCUGAGGGCGUGGAGCUGGUUGAGGAUGGAGAUCACCCUGGCAAGGGAAAUGUCCAGCUGCCUCAGCUUGUGCAGUCAGGGAUCCCGGCACCACAGCAGGGUACUCAGCUCAGUGACGAGGGUGCUGGAGAUGUCCAGGCCCUCUAGCUGUGUGAGAGUACAGAGGUCCUCCAGGAAUGGGUCUGAGGUCUGUGUAUGCCAGGUUUAGUGUCCUCAGGCCCAGCAGAGAGCUAAAGCCCACCUGGGCCCCUUCCUAAACCUCCAGGGACUCCCAGCCCAUCUGGUGCCCACUCAGAGUGAGCCUCUGCAGGCUGACUCUGCACUCCGGGUUGGAGACCAGGCCUGAUAGGAUGUGGGCACCAAUGAGGCCCCCAGGGACCCAGGAAGCGUCCAGCUCCUGCAGCCGGUGAGGGCAGAGGACCAGGCAGAAGGCCUCCUCAAAGAGGGGGUUGGAGCGCAUACACCCUCGGUACAGACAGUUGUUCACAACUGCGGAAGUGGCAGACCAUUCGGUCGUUGUAAGUAUCUGAUCAACCAUUUCCUGUGGGAGCGGUGGGGCCCAGCUGAGCCUCCGGGACACAUCUGGUUGCAUGCUGCAGAAGGAGUCCAGGCUGAGACACCUGGGCCAGACAAAGCUCCGACAGGGCCACGAGACAGAACUCCUCAGCCUGCAGUCAGACACACAGCUGGCUUUGGUUCUGCAGUGCAUGACAUUGCAGCUGAUGCAACCACAUUUGACAUGAUUGUACACUUGGUAUGUGUCAUUUCAUUACAGCAGGGACAUGAGCAUUUUAUGCUCAGGCAGCCUGAAUUUGCCACUCUGUAUUUUAAGUAUUUGGAAUAAACCUUUUCCUUUAUUGAUGAUACAAAACGUGUACAACUGGUAAGCAAUGUACAUUAGCGGGAGUUAUCGCACGGUGACACUGCUUCCCAUUCAUUUUCAAUGUAAGGACAGAGGUGAGGGGCGGAGUGGGAGGCAGUGAAAAAGCAUUUUCAGCAUUUACCAACUUUAUGCAAAUCACAAGGGAUGAACGCUGGGCGAUCAUAUCGAGUGCUCCCCAUGAUGAAUAUGAUGUUCUGAGACCCAAC